rnacentral:rRNA from 1 species
CGCUCUGUGAAAAUAUACAGAGUCGNGCCUGCCCAGUGAUAAUAAUUUAACGGCCGCGGUACUCUGACCGUGCAAAGGUAGCAUAAUCAUUUGCCCUAUAAUUGAGGGCUAGCAUAAACGGUUUAACAAGAGUAUACCUGUCUCUUAAAAAAUAAAUAAAACUUGGUUUUUAGGUGAAGAAACCUAAAUAACAUUGAAAGACAAGAAGACCCUAUCGAACUUAAAAAAAUUUUACUGAACACUAAAAACUAAUAUCACUAAAAAAUUUUGGUUGGGGCGACCAAGGAACAACAAAAGCUUCCUCUAAACAAUAAAUACAAAUAAGUAUUGAUCCAAAAACUGAUUAAAAAAAUUAGCUACCGUAGGGAUAACAGCAUAAUCUUUUUUAAGAGUUCUUAUCGAAAAAAAGGUUUGUGACCUCGAUGUUGGACUAGGAUAUCCUGAUAGACGCAGAAGUCUUCAAAGGUUGGUCUGUUCGACCAAUAAAAUCCU